rnacentral:rRNA from 1 species
GGCGAACGGCUGAGUAAUACAUCGGAACGUGCCCGAUCGUGGCGGAUAACGGAGGGAAAGCUUUGCUAAUACCGCAUACGAUCUACGGAUGAAAGCAGGGGACCGCAAGGCCUUGCGCGGACGGAGCGGCCGAUGGCAGAUUAGGUAGUUGGCGGGAUAAAAGCUUACCAAGCCGACGAUCUGUAGCUGGUCUGAGAGGACGACCAGCCACACUGGGACUGAGACACGGCCCAGACUCCUACGGGAGGCAGCAGUGGGGAAUUUUGGACAAUGGGCGAAAGCCUGAUCCAGCCAUGCCGCGUGCAGGAUGAAGGCCUUCGGGUUGUAAACUGCUUUUGUACGGAACGAAAAGACUCCUUCUAAUAGAGGGGGUCCAUGACGGUACCGUAAGAAUAAGCACCGGCUAACUACGUGCCAGCAGCCGCGAUAAUACGUAGGGUGCAAGCGUUAAUCGGAAUUACUGGGCGUAAAGCGUGCGCUGCCUUUAUAUAAGACAGAUGUGAAAUCCCCGGACUCAACCUGAGAACU